rnacentral:rRNA from 1 species
GAAGAACGCUGGCGGCGUGCUUAACACAUGCAAGUCGAACGGAAAGGCCCUGCUUUUGUGGGGUGCUCGAGUGGCGAACGGGUGAGUAACACGUGAGUAACCUGCCCUUGACUUUGGGAUAACUUCAGGAAACUGGGGCUAAUACCGGAUAGGAGCUCCUGCUGCAUGGUGGGGGUUGGAAAGUUUCGGCGGUUGGGGAUGGACUCGCGGCUUAUCAGCUUGUUGGUGGGGUAGUGGCUUACCAAGGCUUUGACGGGUAGCCGGCCUGAGAGGGUGACCGGCCACAUUGGGACUGAGAUACGGCCCAGACUCAUACGGGAGGCAGCAGUGGGGAAUAUUGCACAAUGGGCGGAAGCCUGAUGCAGCAACGCCGCGUGCGGGAUGACGGCCUUCGGGUUGUAAACCGCUUUCGCCUGUGACGAAGCGUGAGUGACGGUAAUGGGUAAAGAAGCACCGGCUAACUACGUG